UAUCUCUGUAGAGUCUGCAUAUCAAUAAGCGGAGGAAAAGAAACUAACUAAGGAUUCCCUCAGUAACGGCGAGUGAUGCGGGAAGAGCUCAAAUUUGAAAUCUUCAAGGUUCUACCUUGACGAAUUGUAGUUUAAAGAAGUGUUUUCUGUUGGAGUUUUGGUAAAAGUUCUUUGGAAUAGGACAUCAUAGAGGGUGAGAAUCCCGUAUUUGACCAUUAUUUCCAGCUUUGUGAUACACUUUCAAAGAGUCGGACUUGUUUGGGAAUGCAGUCCAAAAUGGGUGGUAAAUUUCAUCUAAAGCUAAAUAUUGGCGAGAGACCGAUAGCGAACAAGUACCGUGAGGGAAAGAUGAAAAGAACUUUGAAAAGAGAGUUAAACAGUACGUGAAAUUGUCAAAAGGGAAGCGUUUGACACCAGUGUUGUUUUCUCGAAAAUCAAUUAAAAAAAGUUGGAUUUUGUAUUGUUAAGACCUUAUCAGCUUACUGUACUCUUUUCUUGCUUUUUUUAAUGCACUUUUCGUUUAACAAGUCAACAUCAAUUUCUUUUGUUGUAAAAGAGUCAUUGGAAGGUGGCUUUCACUUCGGUGAAAGUGUUUAUAGCCUUUGGCUUCUGCAAUCGGAGAGAUUGAGGUCUGCAGCGUAGAUCCUUCGGGGCUAGAUACGUAGAUGCUAAGUUAUAGUUUUUUAUAGACAACUUGUUGACUAUAAUUAAUCAUGUAGCUUACUCGUUUGCGCUAUUUUACCUACGCUUAGGAUGUUGAAGAUGUAGCACAUCAU
rnacentral:rRNA from 1 species